UGCUUGUUUUGAAAAAUAAAACAGCUUUGAAGUGCCUGUUGCAGUUCCUACACAGCAUGAAGUGCUUA
rfam:Rattus norvegicus chromosome 11, whole genome shotgun sequence.